CUGACCUCAAAUCAGGUAGGACUACCCGCUGAACUUAAGCAUAUCAAUAGGC
rnacentral:rRNA from 1 species